AGAAAACAGAAGCAAAAGUAUGACUUUAGGCUGCAAUCAAUAACUAACUGAAAAUUAUGUCUAAGUUUAGUUGAUUUGAAUGGAUAAAGCCAUUUUUGACAAAAAAUUCCAAACAGAUUUAUCAGAUGACUUGCAACAAGCAAUUUAAAUUGCCUGAUCUAGAAGAAAUAUUGUAGUUCAAAUAAAGUGGUGGGAGUUCAAAGG
rnacentral:misc_RNA from 1 species